AGCGCGAGUCAUCAUCUCGCGUUGAUUACGUCCCUGCCUUAUGUGACACACCGCCCGUCGCUCCUACCGAUUGAACGUGCUGGUGAAGCGUUAGGACUGGAACUUUGGGCCGGUUUCCUGCCCAUCGUUUCGGGAAUUUCGUUGAACCCUCCUCGUUUAGCAGGAAGGAGAAGUCGUAACAAGGUCUCCGUAGGUGAACCUGCGGAGGGAUCAUUGAAACCGAUCAAACCAAUCC
rnacentral:rRNA from 1 species